rnacentral:lncRNA from 1 species
CGGAAAGCGAGGGCGGGUGUGCACGCCCUUGCUGCUCUUUAAUUUAUUUUUUCUCCAGAUGAACCAUGCUUCACCUUGGACUCGGUAUGGCAGACAUUGAUAGCAUUGUUUGUUGUGAUAGUGACUGCAAUAGUGAUCCUGAAAGUAUACUGAAAUCAUUAAAAGAAGGUGUACCAGCUCUGCUGAUCUUAGUGAGAAAGUUGCCGUAGUAACGUAGACCAACACAGGUAUUGGCUAUUUUGUUGCCAGAAGAAAGGCAAAAGUAAUUUUGGUAUGCUAUAACCGCAAGAAAGGUCAAGAAGAGGUAGACAAGUUCAAAUCAUCAACUAGAAACAGUGACGUUGUUGUCAAGAAACUCGAUGUUUGUUCAGUGGAUUAAGUGAGGGAGUUUGCCACAAUGAUAGAUGAGCUGAAACACAGACUGCAUAUACAUAUACUGAUGAACAUUGCAGGUGCUUACUUGUAUGAUUUCUGAAGAAGGGACUCAGGCCUCAAACUAAUGUUCAGUGAGUGAGGACCUGGAAAGUAUGUGGAUUGCAGGGAAGCAGAUGAUCAGAGCUCUGACGUUAGUAAAGAUACCAGUCUUGCCAAGAAAUUCUGGGAAAUCAAUGAAAAGUACACAAGGCUUGCAAUGGAGAAGUAAGCUUAGAUAGAAAGGAAAAUAUUUCAGGGAUAUUUAACAAUAGUAGAUUCCCGUGUCAGAUCGUUAUCACUUACUCCAGAGAUUUUUUUUUUAGCUUAUUUAGUCUCUCAAGUAUUGUCCACUUGAGGAGAACAAAAAAUAGAAAAAAUGUUUCAAUACUGUAAAUUCAUUUUUAUUUCAUAAAGAUUUUUGGUUUGGUGAUUUGAGUAGCUAAAGAUCAUUUGAUUUAGUCUCUGUCCUAAACUUGAGAAUAAUGCUUUGUUUAUAAUGUAGUUGGUUAUCUGUAAGAAGGGAAUACAUACUUGAAUUUACGUGUCUGUAUUUACGUCUUAAAAAUUGCCUUCAUUAUGGGGGUUUCAGGGUCAUAGAAUUAAAUUUGGGGACUGGUCUCGAAGCAGGACAUCACCAUUGGUCAAUUUGAAAAUAGAGAUAUGAAUAAACCAGACAGAUGCUUGCAUUUUGAAACAGAACAUCACCAUUGGUCAGUUUGAAAAUAGAGUUAGAAGUCAGCCAAUCAGAUGCUUGCCUUGAAACAGGACAUCACCAUUGGUCAAUUUGAAAAUAGAGUUAGAAAUUAGCCAAUCAGAUGCUUGCAUUUUGAGACUGGUCACCUUUAAACUUAAAUAUGUUGGUGUUAUUUGAUGGUGUUUUCAGAAAUGAUCACCAUUGAUAUGUACUUUUAUGUAAAGAAAGAGUAUUUAUAUAGUGAAUUCAUGAUUUAUUGAAGUAGCCAUGGACGGGAGACACAGCCAUAAUUGUAUCAAAAUUUAGUUGAUUUGUAUAUUGCAAAAGUGGUAAGUGCUUAUUGUUUACAUGUUUUCUACUGUGAAAUCAUUAGUUAGAUAAGUAUGAGCAUGUAUUACAGAUAAAAAGUAAAAUGUUGGGGCUGCCUUUUCGGCAUGAUAAGAACUUAGUGUUUUGUAUUGGGAAAAAGGCAGAUAUGCACAACACUGAACAACACUAUAAAUAGUGAGUUUGUUUUGUAGAAUUGGUCUGUAGUAUACGAAUGUCUACAGUG